CCCAUUGGUGUCAAAAGUGCUGUUUGUGCAGGUAGAUAAACUCAUCAGACCUACUGCAAAACCAGCACUUCCUGACUCACAGGG
rnacentral:pre_miRNA from 8 species